UGGGGAAUAUUGCACAAUGGAGGGAACUCUGAUGCAGCGACGCCGCGUGAGUGAUGAAGGACUUCGUUUCGUAAAACUCUGUUCUAUGGGAAGAAAAGGACUGUACCAUAGGAGAAAGCUCCGGCUAAAUACGUGCCAGCAGCCGCGGUAAUACGUAUGGAGCGAGCGUUGUCCGGAAUUACUGGGCGUAAAGCGCACGCAGGCGGUUUGUUAAGUCAGAUGUGAAAUCCCCGGGCUCAACCUGGGAACUGCAUCUGAUACUGGCAAGCUUGAGUCUCGUAGAGGGGGGUAGAAUUCCAGGUGUAGCGGUGAAAUGCGUAGAGAUCUGGAGGAAUACCGGUGGCGAAGGCGGCCCCCUGGACGAAGACUGACGCUCAGGUGCGAAAGCGUGGGGAGCAAACAGG
rnacentral:rRNA from 1 species